GUUUGCGGUUGCAUUUUAGUGGAGUUUGGAAUGUGGAAUUUGGAAUGUGUUUCUAGGUUCCUUCAUCCUGGUGCAAGAUUGACAAUUUUUGUUGCAAAACUUUAGUCUUUUUUUCUUGUCUCGGAAAAGCUGAUUUAUAUUUAUAUUGGGGAACAGGGGCAGCCAUCUUUCACUUUGUUAAGAGAUUUUUAAGUAAAACUGUACAGUGUUCACUUGAAUGUUGUAUUUACACAGGAGUUAAUUUCUGCAAGCUUAGAACUGCAUUUGCUGCAGUUGUCCCAGAAUAUUGUCAACAUUUCAAUUCAAAACUAUGUAAUUUCUGACGUCUGUUUAUAAUAAAAUUUAAAUGGUGAAAAAUUCCUUUAGGAAACAGCUGAUGAGGCCAGGACAUUUUAAAGUUCAAUUCAAAUAUAAGAGGCCACAGUAUCUGGUCAUGGUUUCAUACUUUGAAGUCAGUUAUAUUGUUAUAACACUGUACAGAAAUAUCUAACUAUUCGUCCAAAAACUUCCUUCAAAGUGGAGUACCUCUGAGUACAAAACUGAAAAGAAUUAGAGAAACAACGUCAUUUAUCUUACUAUAUUACAGUAUGGGAAGAAUCUGACUUAUGAACAAUUUCUCAUUCUUUCCCCUCAGUGUUUUCCAUGAUGCCCCCGUAUAGAGCAGGCACUUCCAACUGCAGCUUCAAGUCAUGAGUGAUAAUGAAUUUAACAACACUGUGUGCUCAAAGUCUUGCACAGAAAUGAAUCAGUACAAUAAAAACUAUGGGUAGUAGCACAAUAACUUGCAAAAUGAUAAAAUACUGAAGAAAAUGACAAGUUAGAAUAGCAGCAAAACAGAAAUACCAAAGCCAUGGGCUUAAGUAUAAAGACGUCAAUAAGGAAACACUGUUAAGGUGGGUAAAGCCACAGCUGUGUCAGCAAACUAAGGGCAGUAACCUCCAGGAAGCCUUUGUAGGCUGUAUCAAAAAGGGUUCUUCCAGAAAAAACCUCUAGCAAGGACUAAUCAGGGAAAAAAAAAGGGGGGGGCACGUAAAUAGUACUUAGGUUAAAAAAGCUAAAAAUACAGAUUACAACAAAAAAUUGAGUAUAGAAGAAAUUAUUUCCAGAAAAACAAAUAUUACUGAGAUUUAAGAGAUUCUGACAUUUAAAUCCAUCAAUAACCACUAAAGAAAUGCAGUUAGUACUACAACUGCACCUCACUCACCACAAGAGAUGUUAAAGGUGAAUUUUACCAAAACAUAAAUUCGCGUUCCUAUCUUACACUUUCAGAGAACAGAAGGAGAGAAAGCCACCAGAUCCAUUUCAUAGUGUUAGUAAAACCUCAAAGCAAAACUGGUCAAGGACGGUAUGAAAAAUUAAUGUGUAUACUAAUCUCACUCAUGAAUAUACAUGAAAAAAAAAAUCACCAAAUAUCGUCAGAAAGGAACAGCGUAUAAAAAAUUAAUACAUUGUGAGCAAAGUAGGCUGUUUCCUAGAAAUGGAGUGUUUUUUAAUAUCUUUAUAAUCUAUGUAAUUAAUCACAUUAAAGGAUAAACCAUAAGAUUACCUCAGUGGAGACAGACGAUAACAAUAUUAAUUUGUUAUUUUGGAGUACAGUUUAGUUAUAAUUACAGGUGCUUAACUCACUUGUAUAAGGUCAUUGUUGGAUGGUAAUUAAAUACAAGACACAUAUAUUGGAACUGUCUGUUGGGUUGGGUCCAGUUGCUUCUACCAGGGGAAAUGUGAUUCGUUCUAUGUCUAGAGCUUCACCAUUUGCCAGGUAAAAGUUACUGGCCUGGGGAUUUCUCCUUUUAACUCUGGUAAAAUACUUUGCAACAUGGAAUAAAGGAACAGUCCAUGUCUUUGUGUUUGAACAAACGUAAGGGUUAUAAAGGGGCCUAGAGUUUUCAACAAGCACAUUUGUUUGAUAAAGCCUACCCUUUCUACCUCUGGAGUGGCAAAUCCUCUUCAUUCUGGAGAAAAAGUUCCUUUUCAUCUCAAAACCAAUCCUCAGUGACCAACAAAAGCAACCAGUAGGAAGAAUCCCCAAUUGGGACUAUUGGGCGAUUGUUCCUUGUCUACAGUGCACAGCUGACCUUGAUUAUUGUUGGGUCAGGAUAGGUCUUCACAAGGGCUUGUUAACCAACAGGAGAGUAUAGGUAAGUCAUUGUAGGCAGUGCUACUCAAACUUCCAUGUAUAUAGCAAUCACCUGGGGAUCUUAUAAAACAUAGAUUGGGGGCCAGCAAGCCUAGAAUGGGGUCUCAGAUGCCACAUUUCUAAAAAGCUUCCAGGUGAUGUUGAUGCUGCCCAUCCACAGACAACACUUUCAAUAGCAAGGGUUUAAAAGUUGCAGCAUAAACUGCUAUCAGCAUCUCAAAGGACCAACUGGAGAGAUGAAACCAGGUGAUGUAUGAGUGAGGAGCCUGAUACAUCUAGUAAUCUGAUUCUUAAGAGUAUUCAGAAGGGCUAGAAGAGAUCCAUUCCUGAUAGCUGGAGUGCUUGGGGGUAUGCCCAUGACCUUAAGUUAACUAAUGGGAUUUGGACCUCAUUUGUGGUGAAAUAUGAAUUUUAAGGCUCUUACCAGUAGAACAUGUAAAUAAUAAAAGUCUUGGGUUAAUGCAAAGAGGUGAUGCCCACGUGUAAUGUUUAUCUUCAUACCUAUUUCAUAGGAGGGAUAUGGAAGAUGACAGAAAACUUUGGUGGAUAAUAGUAGCUUCACUGACAUCCUUAUUGUCUGCUCUAGGCGGUAACAGAAUCUUCUAGUGGUGGGAAGAAUGGACCCAAGACUGAAAGCUCUGGCGCUUUACAGCAGUGGUGGGGUUAAUAGAACUUGGGACAGCCCCUUACAUCAAGGUCCAAGUAAUAGUUUCGCUGGUGAUCCCGGAUGUGAAUGCAGUCUCUAGGAUGUAGAUCCCGGCAGGGCACCACAAGGUCGAUAGUGAUACCUGUGUGUGUGUGUGUCCCCACAAGGUCAGAUAGUGGUACCUUUGUGUGUGUGUGUGUCCACAAGGUCAGAUAGUGAUACCUUUGUGUGUGUGUGUGUGUGUGUCCACGAGGGCAGAUAGUGGUACCUUUGUGUGCGUGUGUGUGUGCUANGCUUGUGUGUGUGUGUCUUUAGGGCCACGCCUGUGGCAUAUGGGAGUUCCCAGGCUAGGAGUGGAAUUGGAGCUACAGCUGCCAGCCUGUGCCACAGCCUCAGCAAUGCAGGGUCUGAGCCAUGUAUGUGACCUACACCACAGCUCACAGCAAUGCCGGAUCCUUAACCCAAUGAAUGAGGCCAGGGAUGGAACCUGCGUCCUCAUGGAUACUAGUAGGGCUUGUUACCACUGAGCCAUGACAGGAACUCCCUAGUGAUACAUCUUACAUCUUAUACAGGAUAUGGAACACUUCAUUGAAGGUUUUGUGGUAAUUCAUUAUAUGAUGGCAGUGAUUUAGCUUAAUCGGGUACAUCACUGUCCUAUAAGUAGGUGACUGCUGAGGGUACAGUGAAGGAGAGUUUGUAGUUUAGCUGGAAAAGGGAUGCCCUUGUUGCUGUUAAUGAGCAAAGAUAUUAAAAUCAGUAUCUGAAAAAUUCCUGCUGAGAACUUGGUUGUGAUGUGUUAAAUCUGUAGAUCACUUUGGGGAGAAUUUAUAUCUUAACAAUAUUGAUACUUUCAAUCUUUGAGCAUGCUAUAUGUAUCAAUUUAAUUGGUUUUGAUCUUGAUCCCUUUCAGUGUUUCACAGUUUUCAGGAACAGAUCCUGCACAUAUUCAUCAGAAUUAAACCUUAGGUAUUUCAUCUUUUGAAGCCAUUUUUGAAGCUAAUAAACAUUUUAAAAAUAUUUUUUGUCUUCCAGUUGUUCAUUCCUAGUACAUUUUCCCCUUCAGAUCUCUAAUGUAGCCACUCAAAACAAAUCAUGGCCUUCAGAGUUUUAUUGAGGACUAGACAUAGCUGAGUAAAUUCCACCUGUAUUGACUUAGUCCUUGAUGUGGUCUUCAUAAUAGAGUAAACACCAGCAUGUCCAAUCCAAUGUCAGGCUGCCAUGAACUUGACCAUGCCCUUCUUUUCCCCUUUCUUUUAUGACUGAAAUUGAAGCAUAUAGAAGUUCCUGGGCCGGGGUCGAAUCCAAGCUGCAGCUGUGACCUAUGCCACAUCUGUGGACACGCCAAAUCCUUAACUGCACUGGGCAUGGGAUCAAACCUGCACUGCCACAGAGACAACGCCCAGUCCUUAACCUGCUGCACCACAGCAGGAACUACAGCCAUGCUUUUCUUUUUCUAGCCCUCUCCACCCAGACCACUUGUUUGACUUCACCUAGGAGGGGUCAACCGUGUAAUUUCACUGUCUCACCCCAGGGCAGCUUGAAUUUUCUCAUCUUGUGCUACAAUAUGGUGUGACUAGACUACUUUUCUUGUUCUACUUAAACUGAGAUUUUAAGGUUUAUAUUAAAUGUGUCCUUUUCCACAUAUCAUCAGGGGCAUUGAUCUCUGAUGCCCUCUGCCACUCAUUUCCAAAAUGACAAACAGGAGAUGGCUUAUUAUUAGGCAAGUAUACAAAGUUCAAGAUUCCAACCCAAAUCCUAUGAGCCAGAUUAUAUAAUGCUCUGUGUGACCAUACAAUUCUUUAUUAUUAUAGAUACAAAACCACUUAGAGGAGGGAGCAUCAAGAUGGCAGAGUAGGAGGAUGUGGAGCUCACCUCCCCUGCAAACACAUCAAAAAUACACCUACAUGUGGGACAAUUCUCACAGAAAACCAGAUGGAAACUGACAGGAGAUCUCUUAUACAACCAAAGCUGCGGAAAAGAUCUGUACAUAACCAGGUAGGAUGGGAAAAAAAAGGCAUCAGGAUGGGGGCCGGUGCCCCUGGGAG
rnacentral:lncRNA from 1 species